rnacentral:rRNA from 1 species
CAGGCUGCAACUCGCCUGCAUGAAGCUGGAAUUGCUAGUAAUCGCGGAUCAGCAAGCCGCGGUGAAUACGUUCCCGGGCCUUGUACACACCGCCCGUCACACCAUGAGAGUCGGGAACACCCGAAGUCCGUAGUCUAACCGCAAGGGGGGCGCGGCCGAAGGUGGGUCCGGUAAUUGGGGUGAAGUCGUAACAAGGUAUC